UACGUAGGCAGCAAGCGUUGUUCGGAAUUACUGGGCGUAAAGAGUGUGUAGGCGGUGUUACAAGUCUGGUGUGAAAUCUCCCGGCUUAACUGGGAGGGUGCAUUAGAAACUGGAAUGCUAGAGGAUGGGAGAGGUAAGCGGAAUUCCUGGUGUAGCGGUGAAAUGCGUAGAUAUCAGGAGGAACACCUGUGGUGUAGACAGCUUACUGGACCAUUUCUGACGCUGAGACACGAAAGCGUAGGUAGCAAACAGG
rnacentral:rRNA from 1 species